rnacentral:rRNA from 1 species
UACGUAGGGGACCAGCGUUGUCCGGAUUUACUGGGCGUAAAGAGCGCGCAGGCGGUCGUUCAAGUCGAGUGUGAAAGCCCCCGGCUCAACUGGGGAGGGUCACUUGAUACUGCUCGACUCGAAGGCAGGAGAGGGAAGCGGAAUUCCCGGUGUAGUGGUGAAAUGCGUAGAUAUCGGGAGGAACACCAGUGGCGAAGGCGGCUUCCUGGCCUGUUCUUGACGCUGAGGCGCGAAAGCUAGGGGAGCAAACGGG